rnacentral:rRNA from 1 species
UACGAAGGGUGCAAGCGUUACUCGGAAUUACUGGGCGUAAAGCGUGCGUAGGUGGUGAGUUAAGUCUGUCGUGAAAGCCCCGGGCUCAACCUGGGAAUGGCGAUGGAUACUGGCUCGCUAGAGUGCGGUAGAGGAGAGUGGAAUUCCGCGUGUAGCAGUGAAAUGCGUAGAGAUGCGGGAGGAACACCGGAUGGCGCAAGGCAGCCCCCUGGGUCGACACU